rnacentral:rRNA from 1 species
AUUCCUUUUCUGGCAUAGCCCCGACGCUGCCCUGGGCGGUGAAGGAUGGAAACCCGCGGCUUAAUGCACAGGGGGCUCUUCUGCUUGCCUUGGCACAGGAUCAGUAUGUUGGAUUUUCAGUUCUGGACUGACGGUUCACGCCCGGUGCAUUUACUGUCACGCUCCGAACGAGCCCACAAACAGCCACCGCUGGCUCGCACGGGGUGCUCUUCAUCGAGUGUCCCGCGUGGCCGGCAGAGUUUACUUUGAAAAAAUAGAGUGCUCAAAGCAGGCUACACUUACGGCCUGAAUGCCUAUGCAUGGAAUAAUGGAAUAGGACCUCGGUUCUAUUUUGUCGGUUUUCUGAACCCGAGGUAAUGACUAAUAGGAACAGGCGGGGGCAUUCGUAUUGCGACGCUAGAGGUGAAAUUCUUGGACCGUCGCAAGACGAACUACUGCGAAAGCAUUUGCCAAGGAUGUUUUCAUUAAUCAAGAACGAAAGUUAGAGGUUCGAAGGCGAUCAGAUACCGCCCUAGUUCUAACCAUAAACGAUGCUGACCAGCGAUCCGCCGGCGUUAUUCCCAUGACCCGGCGGGCAGCUUCCGGGAAACCAAAGUCUUUGGGUUCCGGGGGAAGUAUGGUUGCAAAGCUGAAACUUAAAGGAAUUGACGGAAGGGCACCACCAGGAGUGGAGCCUGCGGCUUAAUUUGACUCAACACGGGGAACCUCACCAGGCCCACACCGGAAGGAUUGACAGAUUGAGAGCUCUUUCUCGAUUCGGUGGGUGGUGGUGCAUGGCCGUUCUUAGUUGGUGGAGCGAUUUGUCUGGUUAAUUCCGAUAACGAACGAGACUCUGGCCUACUAACUAGUCGACGGAUCUCCAGCAAUUGGUGUCCAGUUCGCAGCUUCUUCUUAGAGGGAUAAGCGGCAACUUUAGCCGCACGAGAUUGAGCAAUAACAGGUCUGUGAUGCCCUUAGAUGUUCUGGGCCGCACGCGCGCUACACUGAAGGGAUCAACGUGUCCUCCCCUCCGAGAGGAGCGGGUAACCCGUUGAAAUCCUUUCAUGAUAGGGAUUGGGGUUUGCAAUUGUCUCCCAUGAACGAGGAAUUCCCAGUAAGCGCAAGUCAUGAGCUUGCGUUGAUUACGUCCCUGCCCUUUGUACACACCGCCCGUCGCUACUACCGAUUGAAUGAUUUAGUGAGGCCUUCGGACUGGCGCUCUUGGAUGCCGGGCCCAGGUUCCGCCGCUGGGCUUUCGGCGCCUCGAGCUGACGGAAAGAUGUCCAAACUUGAUCAUUUAGAGGAAGUAAAAGUCGUAACAAGGUUUCCGUAGGUGAACCUGCGGAAG